AAAGCUACCAAGAUUCUUUGUUUCUACGACUGUAGAUUCUUUGUUUCUAUGACUAUAGAUUCUUGUGUAUCCUGAAGCAGAGGUUGAAGGUCACACAAAUGCUUAGAUUCUUCUCAAGUGUAGGCCUGAAGACUAAGCUGCCACGAAGGAUUGUUUUCUCAAGAUGGCUCAAUGGAAAAAACCUUCUAAGUAGAAGAAGCGAAGUAUGGUCUUUUAGUCAUGUGACUUACCUCAUCAAGCAUAAAAAGGUGGAAUUGUUUGCAAUUGCUCAUGAUUUGGAUCAGAUUGAGUUAGUCGUCUGGUUGCCUAGUUGUAAGUUCUUUAAC